rnacentral:rRNA from 1 species
AUUGAACGCUGGCGGCGUGCUUAACACAUGCAAGUCGAUCGGUAACAGGUGUAGCAAUACAUGCUGACGAGAGGCGGACGGGUGAGUAAUGCUUGGGAAUCUGCCUAUUAGUGGGGGACAACCCGGGGAAACUCGGGCUAAUACCGCAUACGCUCUACGGAGGAAAGCCGGGGACCGCAAGGCCUGGCGCUAAUAGAUGAGCCCAAGUCGGAUUAGCUAGUGGUAGGUAACGCCUACCAAGGCGACAAUCCGUAGCUGGUCUGAGAGGACGACCAGCCACACCGGAACUGAGACACGGUCCGGACUCCUACGGGAGGCAGCAGUGGGGAAUAUUGGGCAAUGGGGGCAACCCUGAUCCAGCGACGCCGCGUGGGUGAUGAAGGCC